CAGCAGCCGCGGUAAUGCGUAGGUGGCAAGCGUUGUCCGGAAUUAUUGGGCGUAAAGGGCUCGCAGGCGGUUUCUUAAGUCUGAUGUGAAAGCCCCCGGCUCAACCGGGGAGGGUCAUUGGAAACUGGGAAACUUGAGUGCAGAAGAGGAGAGUGGAAUUCCACGUGUAGCGGUGAAAUGCGUAGAGAUGUGGAGGAACACCAGUGGCGAAGGCGACUCUCUGGUCUGUAACUGACGCUGAGGAGCGAAAGCGUGGGGAGCGAACAGGAUUAGAUACCCCUGUAGUCCCUGUCUCUUAUAC
rnacentral:rRNA from 1 species